GAGUUUGAUCAUGGCUCAGAUUGAACGCUGGCGGCAUGCCUUACACAUGCAAGUCGAACGGCAGCACGGGAGCUUGCUCCUGGUGGCGAGUGGCGAACGGGUGAGUAAUGCAUCGGAACGUAUCCUGGAGUGGGGGAUAACGUAGCGAAAGUUACGCUAAUACCGCAUAUUCUGUGAGCAGGAAAGCGGGGGACCUUCGGGCCUCGCGCUCUUGGAGCGGCCGAUGUCGGAUUAGCUAGUUGGUGAGGUAAAGGCUCACCAAGGCGACGAUCCGUAGCAGGUCUGAGAGGAUGAUCUGCCACACUGGAACUGAGACACGGUCCAGACUCCUACGGGAGGCAGCAGUGGGGAAUUUUGGACAAGUGGGGGCAACCCUGAUCCAGCCAUGCCGCGUGAGUGAAGAAGGCCUCGG
rnacentral:rRNA from 1 species